rnacentral:rRNA from 1 species
UAGUAACGGCGAGUGAACCGGGAAGAGCUCAAAUUUGAAAUCUGGCGUCCUCAGGGCGUCCGAGUUGUAAUCUAUAGAGGCGUUUUCCGUGCCGGACCGUGUCCAAGUUCCUUGGAACAGGAUAUCAAAGAGGGUGACAAUCCCGUACUUGACACGACGACCGGUGCUCUGUGAUACGUCUUCUACGAGUCGAGUUGUUUGGGAAUGCAGCUCAAAAUGGGUGGUGAGUUCCAUCUAAAGCUAAAUAUUGGCGAGAGACCGAUAGCGAACAAGUACCGUGAGGGAAAGAUGAAAAGCACUUUGGAAAGAGAGUUAAACAGUACGUGAAAUUGUUGAAAGGGAAACGAUUGAAGUCAGUCGUGACCGAGAGGCUCAGCCGGCUCUGCCGGUGUAUUCCCCUCGGUCGGGUCAACAUCAGUUUUGUCCGGUGGAUAAGGGCGGUAGGAAGGUGGCACCCUCGGGUGUGUUAUAGCCUGCCGUCGCAUACAUCGGGUGAGACUGAGGAACGCAGCUCGCCUUUAUGGCCGGGGUUCGCCCACGUCCGAGCUUAGGAUGUUGACAUAAUGGCUUUAAACGACCCGUCUUGAAACACGGACCAA